AUGGAGAAAGACGCGGUGCUGGUGUGCAUGGUCUUGGGCUUUCUCGGCUCUGUCGCAGUCACCCUCGGCUUCGUCGCCAACAACUACAGCUCCAAGGCAUGGAUCCAAGAUCGAACAUCACAAUUAUCUUUUCAUCAAUUCGAUAGAUCUGUGCUAACUGAGUCUACGUUAGUCCGUGGAGUACAACGGGACGAACUGCGUGUAUCGGAGCCCGCCGGCGACGGGUCUCGGCAUCCUGGGAGUGUUCCUGGUGUUCAUCAACUAGGUCAUCAUCGCCGCCUACGCCAGCGGCUGGUGGCUCUACCUGUGUUGCUGCUGCCCCUGCUGGACCAAGCGCCGCCGGCAGGCGCCAAUACCGUCCAAGUGGCACAGGUGUAA
rnacentral:rRNA from 1 species